rnacentral:rRNA from 1 species
AUGUCAAGUCUUUACAGAUUGAGUAUCUUUUAUGCUGAGGAUCACGCCAAGACGUCCGAGGAAUAUACGCACAUACUCAAAGCUGAAAGAGUUAUUUGUAAUCAUUCAAGAACAAGUCAGCACCAAACUCGAGAAAAACUUCACCGAGAAAUACAGGAAUUCGCAAUAAAAAGCCAAGAAGGCCAGCAGAAAGCAAAAAGAGCAAACAAGGCGAUUAACUCGGAAGGUACUAAAGACGAUAUAUAUAAGCAACGAUUACGGUACGCAGUUCCGGGGACUCCACAGACCACUCCCCUAGCCCCAUUAGGGCAGGCUAGGCACAGUAAACCACAAAAGACAAACCGACCACGCGACAGUAACCCAAAAGAUAAACUAGCUCUAGGACUCGGAUAG